rnacentral:lncRNA from 1 species
CUGACCUGUAGUAGGAAGGGCUGACCUAUAUGGUAGGAAGGAUUGCUUUCCUGGGCCAAGGCAGUAAAUCAGAAGCAAUACUACAUCCAAGGGGGAAUUACUAGCAUCAGCCUCAAAGACUUAAGGUUGCAGAGGACAUGAUCUCUGUUAUAUCCCCGUGCAUUUCACCUGUCUGGCAAAAUAGGAUGGAUCAUGGUGGAUACAGCAGAUAUGGUAGAUAACGUUGGUGUUCCACUCAGCUCCCGUCAGUUCUCUUUCUCCCUCUUUUGUACACUCCCUCUUGCAUUUUUGUGUGCUUUUUCAGAUACCCAGAGUCUGAAGCUCUUCUUCGGAGGGUGGUCCUUGGGCUACAGAAGACGGCUUUGUCUGCAGAUGAUGAAAGCUCCAUUAUCUGGUCAGAGUGCUGACUUUCAUCGUGUGAGGCCCAGAAAUCUGCAUUUUCAAAUGAGAAUCCGGGACAUUUCUGAUGCAGGCUGCAGUUAGAGAGGCACUAUCCCAGGGAAAUAUUCCUCUAGCUCUUGUUCUCAAAAGAAAAAGCAAAAAUUUGCAAUGCCACUGAGUUUUAAAUUAUUUUUCUCCUAAAAGAAGAAAAGGUCUAUAUUUAAGCACAAGCAUAGUAUCUAAAUAGUAAGGAAUUCUGUUUAUUCUGGGACAAAACAACUAGUUGAAAAUCAACACUUGAGACCUUUUGUCUACAAAGAGCCAAAAUGCUCACUUGUUUUACUGAUGUCUUCAAUGAUCUGACUUUUUACUACAACGUUUACUGAAUUAACAAAGUAGACACAUAUUCUUUAGAGUAUGGUGUGAAGCCCUCUACUGGGUUGAGUACUGUUGGAUUAGACAAUGUGGUGCCCACCCCCCCACUCGUGGACCAGAAGGUGAACCUUGUCUGGAGAGGGUGCUUGAAUGGGUCCUUCCAGAUCCUGGUAUGUGAUUUACAACUACAAAGAGCAUUAAUUACCUGAACACCAAAUUCAGACUUCCUUGCCAUGUUAGAGAAUUGCUUUAAAACAUUUUCCAUAUUUGCUAUUUUGUAAUGCUUUUCCAGAGCAUGCUUCAAAGUCCUUCAGAAGGAGGCAAAGUGAUGGGAUGUGUCUGUUCCCAGUACCUUGACCUCAGGUUCCCAGGGCACGCCCCCGACUGCAGCCUCAGGACCCAGACAGAAAGCAGUGCUGGUCCCCAGUAGCGGGAGAGGAAGCGUCUUCAUCCUGGGCUUCCCAUACACUUCCCCACACUUCUUGGACUCAGAUCAUAGCUCUUCUUGCCCUGUCCCUUAGGAACUUGGUAACCUAGUCUCAUUCAUUUCACCUCCAACUUUGAAAUGCACAGAAUGUGAGCUCUGGGAUUUGCUUUCAGACAUCCUUGUCUGUAACCUUGACCCCUUAAGUUACUGCAGCCUGGCCCCAGACAGGCCAGCUAGACAGAAUGGAAUAAUAACACCAGUGACAACACCGAUGAUGAUAAUGACAGCAGCAGCGGCAACAACAGUAGAGGUAGGAAUAACCUACAGCACAUUUACUACGUGUCAGACACUAAGCGCUUACAUAUACUAACUCGUUUAAUUCUUACAACAAUCAGACGAGGCAGAUCCUCUCAUUAUUCCCAUUUUAGAGACGACGAAAAUGAAGCAGAGGCAGAUUAAGCAACCUGCCUAAGGUUAAAUAAGUAGUGAGAAAUAGAGCUGGGGCUUGAACCCAGAGCGUACGGCUGUGGAGUCCAUGCUGUUACAGUUCUCCUUGCUGCGGUAAUCUAAUAGCAACCUGAGGAAUAAUAAAUAGACCUUAUAUUUGUGUAGCUAUAAACA